UACGAAGGGGGCUAGCGUUGCUCGGAUUUACUGGGCGUAAAGGGCGCGUAGGCGGACAGUUAAGUUGGGGGUGAAAGCCCGGGGCUCAACCUCGGAAUUGCCUUCAAUACUGGCUGUCUUGAGUGUGAGAGAGGUGUGUGGAACUCCGAGUGUAGAGGUGAAAUUCGUAGAUAUUCGGAAGAACACCAGUGGCGAAGGCGACACACUGGCUCACUACUGACGCCGAGGCGCGAAAGCGUGGGGAGCAAACAGG
rnacentral:rRNA from 1 species